rnacentral:sRNA from 1 species
GCUGGGCAUGGUGGUGCAUGCCUGUAAUCCUAGAGGCCUGGGAGGCUGGGGCUGGAGGAUUGUAGGUUCAAAGCCAGCCUCAG